GCGAGCCGUGUACAUCGAGAGGUGUAAGCACGGUUCUGGAGGGGGUUACGCCAAGACCACGGACGAAAGGAAGUAUGGCGUGGCGUUUCCUACCUUAU
rfam:Eubacteriaceae bacterium CHKCI004 isolate CHKC4 genome assembly, contig: {contig7}